CCUACGGGUGGCAGCAGUGAGGAAUAUUGGUCAAUGGACGCAAGUCUGAACCAGCCAUGCCGCGUGCAGGAAGACGGCUCUAUGAGUUGUAAACUGCUUUUGUACGAGGGUAAACGCAGAUACGCGUAUCUGUCUGAAAGUAUCGUACGAAUAAGGAUCGGCUAACUCCGUGCCAGCAGCCGCGGUAAUACGGAGGAUUCAAGCGUUAUCCGGAUUUAUUGGGUUUAAAGGGUGCGUAGGCGGUCGGAUAAGUUAGAGGUGAAAGCCCGAGGCUCAACUUCGGAAUUGCCUCUGAUACUGUUUGGCUAGAGUGUAGUUGAGGUAGGCGGAAUGUAUGGUGUAGCGGUGAAAUGCUUAGAGAUCAUACAGAACACCGAUUGCGAAGGCAGCUUACCAAGCUACUUCUGACGUUGAGGCACGAAAGCGUGGGGAGCAAACAGGAUUAGAUACCCCAGUAGUC
rnacentral:rRNA from 1 species